rnacentral:misc_RNA from 1 species
UUUCCGUAGGUGAACCUGCGGAAGGAUCAUUAAAGAGAAUAUGCCCUUCGGGGUAGAUCUCCUACCCUUUGUUUAUAUUACCUUUGUUGCUUUGGCAGGCCCGUCUUCGGACCACCGGCUUCGGCUGGUCAGUGCUUGCCAGAGGACCCAAAACUCUUAUUAUUAAUGUCGUCUGAGUACUAUAUAAUAGUUAAAACUUUCAACAACGGAUCUCUUGGUUCUG